CGCUGGCAUGCGUGAACCCUCUGAAAACCACUAAUCCUGCAAAAAGGUCUCUAGCUUUUAGCCAGCUCAGCUUCUUGACUCGGCUCAGCGCUCCAGUGCAUGAGCACCGCGGCGGAGGUGGGAGUGGGCAUGAAACUACUUUGAAAAUUAUUAAUUUUCAGCCAGGUAGGUUCUCUGGGCCAACCCGUGUUUUGACCAUCAAAAGAACCUGGGAAUCGCUCACUAAAAUAAAAGCUCCCAACUACUGAAGUACAGCUGCAGUGGUCAUGAAGAACAGUUUUACCUCACGUCUUUCAGUACACUUCGUGCAUAUUUUCCCUAAACUUUACUGUCAAUAGGCUAAGCAAUUCUGCUGCUUUUCAGUCUGUCCUUCUGUGUUGCACUUGCUGCACUUGCAUGCUUAUUUCUCCCUCUCCAUGUUCUGCAAAUGGUUCACGUUUUCCUUGGAAGUGCAGCACUCAAGACUGGACGCGGUGCUACAGGUUGCUUUCUCUUUUGCACUUUGGUCACUUCACUUCCAUCUAUAUGGAGAUUAAAGACUGAAUCAGAAGAUCUGAAUGUAAAACUGCUAAUAUUUCAGAGGGACACAGCUACUUGCCCUUCUCUCUGUUUGAUCUAUAUUUUGUAAAACUUACUAUUGUUUUACCAAAUUUUGAUUAUAUGAAUCCCAAGCAGUGAUGGAGAAGAAAUAAAAAUAUGUAAUGAAGAUAAACUUUUAUUCUUGCAAACUAAUAUGAGUAGCUAUCAUCAGGCAACAUUCAUGUUACCAACAUCUUAUGAAUAAGUGUGUAGGCUUAUCUAUAAAUGUGCAUGCAUGCAACACUUGCAACCCUUCCUGAAGGUCUAGAAAUGAUGAUAAUAAAAGUUUUGAUUAUUA